rnacentral:rRNA from 1 species
UACGUAGGGGGCAAGCGUUGUCCGGAAUCAUUGGGCGUAAAGAGCGUGUAGGCGGUCCGGUAAGUCGGCUGUGAAAGCCCCCGGCUCAACUGGGGAGGGUCACUCGAUACUGAUCGACUUGAAGGCGGGAGAGGGAAGCGGAAUUCCCGGUGUAGUGGUGAAAUGCGUAGAUAUCGGGAGGAACACCAGUGGCGAAGGCGGCUUUCUGGCCCGUUCUUGACGCUGAGGCGCGAAAGCUAGGGUAGCAAACGGGG